UACGUAGGGGGCAAGCGUUGUCCGGAAUCAUUGGGCGUAAAGAGCGCGUAGGCGGCCCUGUAAGUCCGCUGUGAAAGUCCGGGGCUCAACUCCGGAUCUGCGGUGGGUACGGGCAGACUAGAGUGAUGUAGGGGAGACUGGAAUUCCUGGUGUAGCGGUGAAAUGCGCAGAUAUCAGGAGGAACACCGGUGGCGAAGGCGGGUCUCUGGGCCGAUACUGACGCUGAGGAGCGAAAGCGUGGGGAGCGAACAGG
rnacentral:rRNA from 1 species